CAACAGGGAUUGCCCUAGUAACGGCGAGUGAAGCGGCAACAGCUCAAAUUUGAAAUCUGGCCCUCGGGUCCGAAUUGUAAUUUGUAGAGGAUGCUUUUGGUGCGGUGCCUUCCGAGUUCCCUGGAACGGGACGCCAGAGAGGGUGAGAGCCCCGUACGGUUGGACACCUACCCUAUAUAUAGCUCCUUCGACGAGUCGAGUAGUUUGGGAAUGCUGCUCUAAAUGGGAGGUAAAUUUCUUCUAAAGCUAAAUACCGGCCAGAGACCGAUAGCGCACAAGUAGAGUGAUCGAAAGAUGAAAAGCACUUUGAAAAGAGGGUUAAAUAGCACGUGAAAUUGUUGAAAGGGAAGCGUUUGUGACCAGACUUUUUCUUAGUGGAUCAUCCGGUGUUCUCACCGGUGCACUUCACUGGGUUUAGGCCAGCAUCGGUUUCCGGAGGGGGACAAAAGCAUGGGGAAUGUGGCUCUUUCGGGAGUGUUAUAGCCCCUAGCAUAAUACCUCUCCUGGGGACCGAGGACCGCGCUUCGGCAAGGAUGCUGGCGUAAUGGUUAUCAACGACCCGUCUUGAAACACGGACCAAGGAGUCGAACAUUUGUGCGAGUGUUUGGGUAUCAAACCCUCACGCGUAAUGAAAGUGAACGGAGGUGAGAGCCCCUCGGGGUGCAUCAUCGACCGAUCCUGAUGUCUUCGGAUGGAUUUGAGUAAGAGCAUAACUGUUCGGACCCGAAAGAUGGUGAACUAUGCGUGGAUAGGGUGAAGCCAGAGGAAACUCUGGUGGAGGCUCGCAGCGGUUCUGACGUGCAAAUCGAUCGUCAAAUCUGCGCAUGGGGGCGAAAGACU
rnacentral:rRNA from 1 species